GCACAGGUGCCAGUAAGGCGACGUUGGUAAUGAUCACGAUCGAAUGUUGGCUGCUCUGGCAACGAUCACGCUCGGAUGGUGCUCUUGGCACCCUACUAGCACGGGCGCAAGUGCCAGGAAGGCGACGCUGGUAAAAUCACGCACGAAUGGUGCCCUUUAAGUGCCACUGGCACGG